rnacentral:lncRNA from 1 species
AAGCAAAUGACCAAGAAACAACUUUUAUAUUAAUCAGGAUUCGUUUUUAAGUUGAAGUGACCAAAAUACAACUCAAACUAACUCAAGCAAAAAAGAAAUAGGUACUGGGGAGAGGGGACAGUAGGGGAACAGGCUCCCACAUACUGAGAUCUGGGAACACAAAGGGAAGUUAUCAGGUCUCUCUCCCUCUCAGCUCUGCUUCUUUCAGUGUGGUGGCCUCAUUCUUUCUAACUGAAGAACGAUCUUUACUGCAGAAAAUUCUAAGCAUUAUUGUGGCAGAUCCAGUAAGUCCCAGAGAAGGAUUCUGAUUGGUCCUGCUUCAGUCACAUGCUUGCAUCUUAGUCCAAUCACUGUGGCCUGGAGGAUGGGACACCAUGAUUUGCAAGACUCUGGUCACAUGCCCACACCUGUGGCUUCUGAAGCAGAGCACCAGCAGUGACAGUCCCACCAGAACCGCAUGGAAUAGAAAACUGUGCAUUUCCCUAAGGAAAGGGAAUGCCAGAGAAGGGCAGAAGGGAAAUCAGGAAGACAAAACGGUAAAUUACCUACCACAAAUCCAAUUCAUUGGUAUUUUUCCACUUACACUUAACCAAGCAACGAUUUCUCCUGGUCCCAUAAUGGAAAAGAGGGUUUAUCUAGAUUCAUAUAUACAAGACUGAAGAGUGAAGAGAGACCCAGAGAAUGUUCUAAAAUCUGCCAGUUAGCAUAAUCACACAGAGAAAUCUCUGCUUCCAGAGGAGGAGCCAAGUUCAAGUCAGAGGUGAGGAAUGCCAACAGGAAAGCUCACUUUCUCCGGGGAUAUUCAGGCCAACACUAGGAAACCACAGCCAAGUCAGGCAGGGCUUGGGGCGGAACUGCUGACACCUCCACCCUAGCCAAUCCAAGGUGCACGCCUGCCUCAUGCAGCCCAGCGUGACUCCCGCCAUUGGCACACUGUGCCCAUCACAGGCUGGAGCUCCUUUCCUCCACCGUCUUCCCAACUCCUGCCAACCAGAACUUAACUACUCCUUUGGAUUCUGCUUUUCACUUGUUCUUCAUCAGACUAUGGAAGCUUAGACUUCAUAAUUUGGCUGAGACUUCAAAAAUAGUUUUAAAGAAAGCUAUUCCCACCCUGCUAAAUGUCUUCAUGUUGGAGUGGACCUUUCCUCUAUCUGUCAACAGAAUGGAUAAAUUGUGGAAGAGUAAUAUCAGAAUACUACACAUCAGUAAAAAACAACAAACUUCUGCUACAAACAAUCAACAUCGAUGAAUCUUUCAGGCAAAAGGUUAUAGAAACAGAUGAUCAGUGGCCCACGGAUUCCAGGUGAGGAUCUGGGACCCAGACAUCCAGAUAUUGAAAACACAGGGAUGGAGUCUGUAUGGAAAAAAUUAAAAUAUAGCAAAAUGUGAAAUACGGAAGAGAAAUCUUUCAAUUUCCCAAUGGAAGUGAGAAAAGAGCAAAGAAAAGUAUUGGUCUUCCAAAACAAAUAGAGGACGGAGCUGCUGCUGUUGCAUGGUGUCUAGAAACUCAGACAACUUCAUCAUUCCAUAUUUGCAUCCAAGAGAGAGAAAGAAAAACUACAAUCAUUUUCCAUUUACCCAUCAACCCAUCAACCUCCAAAUAAAGGCUAUUAAAAAACAAUCAAAGUGUGAAGAGGGCAGAAAAUGUGAUGAAGAGAUUCUUUGGAGAAAGUAGCUGCCACUGUUACCUUGGGAUCUGCCUAUAGUCCUCACAGAGCUUGCCCUUGCAGGAUAGAACAUAGGAGUCUGGGAGUCUGCAAGAAGAGACAGGGUCUCACUAUGUUGCCCCAGUUGGCCUUGAACUGCUGGACUCAAGGGAUCCUCCUGCCUCAGCAUCCUGAGUAGCUGGGUCUACAGGCAUGAACCACCAGGCCCAGAACCCUGUCUUUUGAAAGCCAUAUGCGAUCUGUCUGCCCUGAAGUGACUACUUCAUCUCCAACCAGCCCUUGGCUGGCAAAGUCAGGAAGACUCCAGUCUUUCCUGAAGACCAGGGGAGAGUUUAUAACUCUAGCAUCAAAGUCAGCAGCUGUUCAUCUAGAAGACAACUUCCCAAAAGUCAAUGUCUUUGCCUGAAGCUUUUCUUCCCAGAUCUCCUAUGGUGAAACAACCAAAGGGAAGAAGAAUGUGGGCAGCCCUCAGUAAGACAGGAGAUGAGCAUCAACAUUGACCCAUUCUUUCUUCCAGUCCUCGAUGCUUACCUUGUACAUUCUUCUUUGUCUUCCGACUCAGUGCCUUUAGGGUAUGGACGUUGCCUGGUCCCACACAAGCCAAGCAUCAAAUGGAUGGCUCAACAAGGAGGCCAAGACCAGCUAAUGUUUAGUGAGCACCCAAAGGGGCCACACUGGAGAGAACAGCACAGCUCCGUCUGAGAAACAGCUGUUCCUUCCUGCCUGAGAGGCAGAGUGAUAGAAGAUAUCACAGAAUGUUGCUGCUUUGUCUUCCACCCUGAACCCUCCACGACCUCCCUGUAGCUUCCUGAUUUUAAGUAGACAUCAAAUGAUUCUUAAUCCUUUCUGGGUCUUGGAACGAUUUGAAAAUUGUCAACAGUACUGGGAUUCCCAGAAUAAUGCACAUAUGUACAUACUCAGAUAUUCCCCAAGCCCUGGAUAUAAUUUUAAGGGAGUUCACAGACCACACUCCCCCACCCAUCUGUGGACCCAGAUUCUGUGGGUUCGAGAUUCAGAAGCCCUGUUUCUAGGCAGGCCCUCUGUUGCUAACGCCCCUCGAGAACAUCACCCUAGAUGAUUAUCCCUUCUUCCUCCACUCCUUCCCACCUUCUCCAACUGCUGGGUUUCAGCACAAAGAUUGCUUGCCAGUUAAACUGGCACCAUGGACCGCACAGUAGUUGUUUCUUGGGUCUAGAGGAAACAGCCAGAUUCCUUUAAGUAAAUCAUGUCUUAGUUAUUGAUUGUCUCCACUUGAAGUUUUUGACAAUCUCUGAUUAAAUCAUAAACCACUGCAUCCUCCAUCUCCUGCUUCAGUCUCUCAAACCAAAUGUCAGUUUCUU